rnacentral:rRNA from 1 species
CCUACGGGAGGCAGCAGUGGGGAAUAUUGCACAAUGGGGGAAACCCUGAUGCAGCGACGCCGCGUGAGUGAAGAAGUGAUUCGUUAUGUAAAGCUCUAUCAGCAGGGAAGAAAAUGACGGUACCUGAGUAAGAAGCCCCGGCUAACUACGUGCCAGCAGCCGCGGGAAUACGUAGGGGGCAGGCGUUAUCCGGAUUUACUGGGUGUAAAGGGGGCGUAGACGGCAGUGCAGGUCUGGAGUGAAAGGCGGGGGCCCAACCCCCGGACUGCUCUUGAAACUGCACGGCUGGAGUGCAGGAGGGGUAAGUGGAAUUCCUAGUGUAGCGGUGAAAUGCGUAGAUAGUAGGAGGAACACCAGUGGCGAAGGCGGCUUACUGGACUGUAACUGACGUUGAGGCUCGAAAGCGUGGGGAGCAAACAGGAUUAGAUACCCUUGUAGUC